rnacentral:lncRNA from 1 species
UAUGCAGACCUGAAACAUGGAAGCUCAAAAAAUGAGCAUUUCAGCUAACUGGUUGGACUCAGAACACAGGAAAAGGCCAUUCACAGCUUGAACAUGGUUUUAGAAGAUCUUAUUGACUACAGCUUCUUUCAGCAGAAAAGGAGUUCAUCAAGGUCAGCUUCACCUCAACAGCAGCUUUUCAGUGUUUAUGGCAUGAGCAGCACAAGUGGAUUUCACAGGCAGMACCUCUUAAUUUAAAUGGUAGCAUUAACAUGCAUGAGGGGUGGAGGUGCGUGUGCCUGGGUUUGGAUUCCCUGGAAGUCCCAGCGUGUGGAGCCAUGCUGCAGUUUCAGUCUCCAGGCUGAUACUGAAGCAGCAGAAAGCAAUUUCUUCACUCCUUCCAUAAGCAGAGAAGAGGCAAGCAUGUUUCCUGAAGGUGUUAAGGAAAAAGAAUAAUUAUUCAUCUUACACUGAGAAAGCGGGAGAGCAAGAAAAAGCCUYAAGCGGGUGGUAGGAAGGCAGAGGAGACUUUAAACACACCAUCAGGCUGCCACUUGCAGCUAAAUAGGAAACGCAGUGGCAGCAGUUCUCAAUUCUGGGGUAUUUUCUUGGGGGGGGGGGGGGAGGAAAUCAAAGAAUCCUCAUAUCCCUGAAUGCUUAGAGUAGAAAAGCUCUCACAUGACUGAGCCACUGAUUGGCUGCUGGCAGCUUCUGAUUUGUAAGGUUUUCUCUGCCCUUGUUUAGGCUAAGAUGAUUCACACAAUACAUUUUUAAUAAGAAAGUGGUGAGAAUGUCAAUCACACAGCAAAUGGUUCAGCUGCAGGACCACAAACUUUCUGGGAACUCCUUUGCUUCAUUUUUAAAAUAGUAGGUCCAGCCAAAGUGAUUCAGCCCAGAAGUCCACCCGGCCCCGUCUCCUCUCUCUGCCAAUGGCCGUURGCAGAUAACUAAGAAAGAAUAUAAAAAUGGUAAAAGUAUCCAGAAAUACUUCCCUGUACACAUUCCAGCAUCCGGUAAUCUGCAGCUCAGAGACUUGCUCAGGCAGUGAUAAUGUCUCUGUGUAUAACAGUCCUUGUUGGAUUUUUCAGAUAAGAAAUCUCCACUAUUUUUAUGGACCUUUUUUUUUUUGCCAUACUCUCUCUUUUCCACAGAGAGUAUGAUAUCGUUCUAAACCUGCUAUAUACGAGGUCAUAUCCUCAGGGGAUAAAAAUAGUCCUACCUUCAUCCUUGAGGCUGAUGAAAUUAUGUUAAUAUACUGUCUCACAGACUCUAAAUACUGUUUUAGUUGCCUGAAGCAGGCAACUAAACUAUUCACUGUGAUGAACAGACACUUGGAGGAAAGGAUCUCAGUAGCAAAAUCUUUGGUAAGUUAAAAUCUAAACAGUGAAGGAACAGACCUUGCACAGAGCGAAUGUUUUGUGAAAGCACUUCUGAACCGGAAAGCCGGUUGUCUGAUCAAAGUGGGUUUGUACAAGACACCCCCAAAUCCAUCUGACAUGUAGAUAUCUUUGAAACAUGGAGAGGUAGAGAAUUAAACAGUGUUYGGAUUGUUUCAUACACAAAGGGUAUUUAUGUUGGUGAUAAUAUUGGGAGGCACCUGAAAGUUGGCAUAUUUUACUACCUGUCUACUUUACUUUCGUCACUCAACCUAUAAAAGUUGCAUUUACUCUUUUCUUUAAAACGUGCACUUGCUUUCCUUUCCCUCCCGCUGUCAGACAAGAAAAAAGACUACUUUGGGAACUCUUUGUACUUAAAAUACACAAAGAUUUUUCCUGAUCAAUAUUUGACAUUUCUACACUCAUUAACAUUUUGUAUUUGUUGCUCUCAUAGUAUCCGGUUGUUUAUAUGUGAAAUAAAACAUGUUUUGCCCAACA